rnacentral:rRNA from 1 species
CUCAUAGUACCUGCUGACUGGUCCGAAAGGCCGUUGAAUGCUACGACGCGAUACCGCCGUCUUGAAACACGGACCAAGGAGUCUAGCGUAUGUGCGAGUCAACGGGCAAAUAAAAGACCCUACGGCGCAGUGAAAGCGAAUUGUAACCCGGUAAAACGGAGCAGUUUGAGCGGCAGUGAUAUCUUCGGAUGAUCGGACCGACCUAGAGCACAUACGAUAGGACCCGAAAGAUGGUGAUCUUUGCGUGGGUGGGACGAAGCCUGGGGAAACCCUGGUGGAAGUUCGAAGCGGUGUUGACGUGCAAAUCGCUCGUCUAACCUGCGCAAAGCGACUAAAGAUCAAUCGAACCAUCUAGUAGCUGGUUCCCUCCGAAGUUUCUCUCAGGAUAGCUGACCGACGAUAAUGUGGUUGUUGUGGGCGGUAGAGCGAAUGACUAGCAUGUUGGGGGAGUGACCCUCCUCCGGAUGAUUCUCAAACUCUCAAUGUUCAUGCGUAAAGGGGUUCCGGGGUCGUAAUUGCCCCGGUCCUCGCCAUAUUUGAAAAACGUCGGUCGUGUGGGCCAUUUUUGGUAAGCAGAACUGGCGAUGCGGGAUGAACCGUACGCACGUUUAAGGCGCUAAAAUACUCGCUCAGAGACCCCAAAAAAGGUGUUGAUCCAUAUAGACAGCAGGACGGUGGCCAUGGAAGUUGGAAUCCGCUAAGGAGUGUGUAACAACUCACCUGCCGAAUGGGUUGGCCCUGAAAAUGGAUGGCGCUGAAGCGAGUUGCCGAUGGCGGGCCGUUCGGACCACCUAAUUCGUGUCUAUAGAAUAAAGAGCCAAAAACCCCAUACCUUUUAUGUAUAUUAUGAAAAUUUCUUUAAAAAACAUACCCUAUCAUUGACCCUUUACACAAAACWGCUAAACAGCUUAUCUCUUUGUUAUAUAUACAUAAAUGAAUGACACCUAUCCGAAUGAGUAGGAGGGCGUGGAGGUUGCGUUGAAGCGUGCGGGGUAACCUGGCGUGGAGCGGCCUCUAGUGCAGAUCUUGGUGAUAGUAGCAAAUAUUCAGCAGCGAUCCCCGAAGGGUGAAGCGGGGAAGGGUUCCACGCGAACAUUGAUUGUCCGUGGGUCAGCCGUGCCUAAGGCGAGUGGCAAUAGCUACGAAAGCCGAAAGGGAAUCAGGUUAAUAUUCCUGAGCUCAGACUGUAGUUGUGUGACCGCGGUNACGCAUUUCUUGUUGUUGGUGGUGACACCGGUGCGCUCGCUGGGCAGAGUUUUCUUCUCUGUUUGACUGCGUUCCGCGUACUGUGGAGUCCGAUUAUCGGGAGAAGCAGGCGCGAUGGGGCACAGCGCCGCGAAAUAUUUGCGGCGUCCGGCUCGAGCACAUUCGGUCCUUGAAAAACCAUCUACUGGGUCGAAUUACGAAAGUAGUUCGAUUAAAGAAGUCCCAACUAC